rnacentral:rRNA from 1 species
AACGAACGCUGGCGGCAGGCCUAACACAUGCAAGUCGAGCGCCCAGCAAUGGGAGCGGCAGACGGGUGAGUAACGCGUGGGAACCUUCCCAAUGGUACGGAAUAGCUCAGGGAAACUUGAGGUAAUACCGCAUAAGCCCGAAAGGGGAAAGAUUUAUCGCCAUUGGAUGGGCCCGCGUAGGAUUAGCUAGUUGGUGAGGUAAUGGCUCACCAAGGCGACGAUCCUUAGCUGGUUUGAGAGAAUGACCAGCCACACUGGGACUGAGACACGGCCCAGACUCCUACGGGAGGCAGCAGUGGGGAAUCUUGGACAAUGGGCGAAAGCCUGAUCCAGCCAUGCCGCGUGAGUGACGAAGG